ACGGGGGGUGCAAGCGUUGUUCGGAUUUAUUGGGCUUAAAGAGCGUGCAGGCGGAUGAAUAAGUCAGAUGUGAAAUCCUUGGGCUCAACUGAAGAACUGCCUUUGAUACUAUUAAUCUUGAGUAUGGUAGAGGAAAGUGGAAUUCCUGGUGUAGAGGUGAAAUUCGUAGAUAUCAGAAGGAACACCGAUGGCGAAGGCGACUUACUAAGCAUAGACUGACGCUGAGGCACGAGAGCGUGUGUAGCAAACAG
rnacentral:rRNA from 1 species